CCUACGGGUGGCUGCAGUGGGGAAUAUUGCGCAAUGGGCGAAAGCCUGACGCAGCGACGCCGCGUGAGGGAAGAAGGUCUUAGGAUCGUAAAACCCUGUUGUUCGAGAAGAAAGUGCGCGAGAGUAACUGUUCACGUUUCGACGGUAUCUAACCAGAAAGCCACGGCUAACUACGUGCCAGCAGCCGCGGUCAUACGUAGGUGGCAAGCGUUAUCCGGAUUUAUUGGGCGUAAAGGGAACGCAGGCGGUCUGUUAAGUCUGAUGUGAAAGCCUUCGGCUUACCCGGAGUAGUGCAUUGGAAACUGGGGGUAUUGAGUGCAGAAGAGGAGAGUGGAACUCCAUGUGUAGCGGUGAAAUGCGUAGAUAUAUGGAAGAACACCGGUGGCGAAGGCGGCUCUCUGGUCUGUAACUGACGCUGAGGCUCGAAAGCGUGGGUAGCAAACAGGAUUAGAUACCCUUGUAGUC
rnacentral:rRNA from 1 species